CAUCAAUUUGGUUUCUUCUCUAUGCCAUCCAACGGCCUGUAAUUUUCCUUUCCACAUAAAGUUUAUAGGAAAACCUAAUUCCUUUGGAUAACUCUUUUCAUUCCUCUCUCUCGUAGAAGCAGUUGCGCCUCCUUCUCCUACUUUUCUCAUCUUCUUCUUUCCUCCAUCUUAGAUUCUCAAUAGAUCUUGUUCUCAUUGGGUUAAUUGAUAAAAUUUGUUUGUUAAUUGUUGUUCAUUGGGUUGGAUUUACUAACGAAUGAUUCAAAAUUUUUGAUUUUGUUAUUAAGAUAUUUCUUUGUCUGCAAUGAUUGAUUGUAGUAAUAACAGUGUUUAGGUAUUAAGGUUUCGUUUCUUAUUCCUCUAUAUUGAUCUGCAUCUCUAUGCCUCUCUCUUCAUAUCCAUGUUUUCCUUUAAGAUUUGUUACUAAUCAGGGCUUCAUGCUUUGAUGUGUAAACAGAACAGUUAUCUCUUUGCCGUUUUGGACCAUAAAUUAAUUAAAAUCUAUAUGAAAUUGGUUGCAUUAGGAGUUUUUGAUUUUCUCAAAUGGGUCUGAUUUUUUUUUUCUAUCUUUGAAUGAAUAAAUUAUCACAAAAUAUCAGAUUUUAUUGAUAGGUUUCUUAUUCAGUUGGUCUCGUUUAUCCAUUAAAUGAUUGAGUUUGUUAAUUUGAUUUUUAUUUGUUUAGAAUUUCUAAUUCAUCUUCCUCUGUAUCUAGAUGCAUCUGUCAUCUUUUCCAUAAAGAUUUGUUAUUAAUCAAGAUUUCAAGCUUAUUGUUCUCUUUAUAAAGUUUUGUUGUCUACACUGAUAAUAUGUCUUUGGUCGUUUGGACCAUAAGUUACUUAACUCAUCUAUAUAUAUAAAUAUGAUUCUUUGAUUUUUUUUUUUCAAUGGGUCUGAUUUUUUUUUUCUUUGGUUCGGAAUAAACAAAUCAAGUGAAGUUUGCUCCUACGCAUACUUUGAAGAAGGACCAAAGUUCACAUUUUUGGGGAGGAAGAAACCAGAUUUAGGAUGAGUACUCUUAUGAUCUAGAAAUCAGAGCUAAAAGAACAGAUCGAAGGAUGUUAGAUUGCAGAUCUAUUUAAGAUUGUCCUGUGAAAUUCAAGAACUUUGAUGGGUGCAGGUUGAAGUUGUUGUUUCAAUGGUGCCAUGUAUCAUUAGAUUUUAAUUUUCUUUCCCAGAGAUUGUAUUUCAUUUUUGUAAAAAUAUGAGAUUGUAAAUUGACUAAUAAAUGAUGUUGUAAAUUGAAUUUUGUGAUAAUAAAUUAAAAUUAAUGUUGCAUUAAA